rnacentral:rRNA from 1 species
AGUGAACGCUGGCGGUAGGCCUAACACAUGCAAGUCGAACGGCAGCACAGUAAGAGCUUGCUCGUACGGGUGGCGAGUGGCGGACGGGUGAGGAAUACAUCGGAAUCUACUUUUUCGUGGGGGAUAACGUAGGGAAACUUACGCUAAUACCGCAUACGACCUACGGGUGAAAGCAGGGGAUCUUCGGACCUUGCGCGAUUGAAUGAGCCGAUGUCGGAUUAGCUAGUUGGCGGGGUAAAGGCCCACCAAGGCGACGAUCCGUAGCUGGUCUGAGAGGAUGAUCAGCCACACUGGAACUGAGACACGGUCCAGGCUCCUACGGGAGGCAGCAGUGGGGAAUAUUGGACAAUGGGCGCAAGCCUGAUCCAGCCAUACCGCGUGGGUGAAGAAGGCCUUCGGGUUGUAAAGCCCUUUUGUUGGGAAAGAAAAGCAGCAGGUUAAUACCCCGCUGUUCUGACGGUACCCAAAGAAUAAGCACCGGCUAACUUCGUG